ACAAUGCUCAUCCAUACACUGCUGCCAUCUUAAGACUUUGAAGCUUUGAAGACACAGUAUGGUAUUCCAUAUCCAUACGCAUCACCUGAAAGUUGCUGUUGGAUCCCCAAAUACCACAAAGUCUGCAUGACCUGCGUCAAUAUUUCAGCUGCAUUGGAUGCACCAAUGUAGGACACUGUUAGGAACAUCUGCAGGACGACCAACGAACCUGCAUAUGAAGGAACUAUGGUCAGCACCAAGAUUACUCAGCACUAAGUUCCCGUCCCUCUAAACAGAGUGAGGAUGAUAUGGAUAAGACCCAGCUUGGGCUGGCUGCACUGAGACAGGCCCUGAGGUCAACUUAUGGUUGUAAUAUUCUCCUCACAUGAAAUCAAUGUCUGCGUGCCUGUCCUGUCUCAUCCUCUCCACUGGAAUCCAAUUUUCUCGAACCCUGCACUGCACGAGCGCCGAGCAAAGCAAGGCCCCCUCCACCAACAGCAUGUGCUGAGCUUUGGGCUUUGGCACUGGGCCGAACGGGGGUUUCUCACCGAGCCUGUACAGCUCCCUUGGGCUUCCCUGCAGGUUAAAUGAGGAUUAUUUUUAGUCUCUACCCUUAAGUACCCUAAUGACUAAUAGCCUGAUGACUUUUAAGUGGAUACCUCAGGCCACUAGUGACGCGUAACCUCAUUACUCCCCUUUACCGCACCCUUUUUUCCAGAUACGUGACAAUUUUUUAUUUAUCACUUUGUUGUUGCCAGUGUAAUGUUUUUUGACACUUUGUUCUUGUAAUUUUGCACUUUUGUACAUGAUGUUAGAAGAUUUGUGUUGGUAAGCAUGAAAUGUGUGUGUGUGUGUGUGUGUGUGUGUGUGUAUUGUAUUCUCAUGCAGUUAAAGGAACAGAAAAUAAUACUGUAUUGUUUUUCAAUCUAAUCUUAAACUACCUUAUCUCUAGUGUACAGUCAAUUUUCAUGGACAGUAUUUUCCCUUUAGUUAUAAGUAAACAGAAAACCCAUAAAUCUCAGCAGUCUCUCAGUUGACUUCUGUUAAUAACAAUAAGAUUGACAACAGGUCUUUUACUAAGAUCAGAUAAAUGAAUAAAGUUAAUUAUAUACUGUAAUUACACAUGUGCAUCCACUUUAGCUUUGGGACCCAUACUUCUGUAUGUACUACAGUGACCAUGUAAUGACAGUGCCUAGAUGCUGAUGUUUCAUAGAUCUAGAGAAGACC